UACGUAGGGGGGCAAGCGUUGUCCGGAAUCAUUGGGCGUAAAGCGCGUGUAGGCGGCCCGAUAAGUCCGCCGUGAAAGUCCAGGGCUCAACCCUGGAAUGCCGGUGGAAACUGUCGGGCUGGAGUCCGGAAGAGGCGAGUGGAAUUCCUGGUGUAGCGGUGAAAUGCGCAGAUAUCAGGAGGAACACCAAUGGCGAAGGCAGCUCGCUGGGACGGUACUGACGCUGAGACGCGAAAGCGUGGGGAGCAAACAGG
rnacentral:rRNA from 1 species